rnacentral:rRNA from 1 species
GAUGAACGCUGGCGGCGUGCCUAAUACAUGCAAGUCGAGCGAACAGACGAGGAGCUUGUUCCUUUGACGUUAGCGGCGGACGGGUGAGUAACACGUAGGUAACCUACCUAUAAGACUGGGAUAAUUUCGGGAAACCGGAGCUAAUACCGGAUAAUAUUUCGAACCGCAUGGUUCGAUAGUGAAAGAUGGCUUUGCUAUCACUUAUAGAUGGACCUGCGCCGUAUUAGCUGGUUGGUAGGGUAACGGCUUACCAAGGCUACGAUACGUAGCCGACCUGAGAGGGUGAUCGGCCACACGGGAAGUGGGACACGGUCCAGACUCCUGCGGGAGGGAGCAGUCGGGUAUCGUACGCAAAGGGCGGAAGCCUGGCGGAGCAACGCCACGUGAGUGAUGGAAGUCUUCGGAUCGUGAAACUCUGUUAUUAGGGAAAAACAAACUUGUAAGUAACUGUACACGGCGUGACGGUAACUAAUCAGAAAGCCACGGCUAACUACGUG